ACCAUUUCGACUUUGGACAAACUUACAAACAAGCUCAUUAUUAGAAUAGAUUAUCCAUUGUCUUUGCACAGCUUCUAACGCUGGGGAUGACUACGAUGUCAGUUGUUCACUACCAGUGAACUAAGGUAACACCCCUUAUUUUUCUAGCACCAUCCAGAAUAUUCGAGCGGUUCCAAGCAAUACUGGAGCUCCACACUUAUUGCAUCCCCUAUUGACUUUUGUUUUGUAGUUGUACAAGUUAACUCCAAGUCUCACCCAGAGACCUCAAGAGACAACAAGUUAGAAGUUCAAGAUGGUAUCAUGCCUAGGGUGUCAUAUAUUUGGUUUGCACAUAGUAUUGCUCUAGAGAAUGUUUAAGAAAACAUAAGAAAAUUAUAAGUUCGUUUUAAAAUUUGAGAUUACAUAGACAGUAUAUUUUACCUCGGAUAUGGGCAGUUCCCAUGAGCACUAUCUUUUGAAUUUCUGCCAUUUUGGGGUUUCCUGGUAUCUGAGCAAACUUCAGUUGAAAAAUCCUGCAAAUCCGAUUGCUGAAUAUUUAUCUAAAUUACCGACAAAAAACGUAACCUAAUGGAUAUAGAAGUGUACGUAUUGCAGCGACUGGAAUGAACCGAAUGUCGAUUUGUAGACGAGUUCACAUCCACGAUCAGAAGCAUCGUGAAAAAUACUUCUGCAUCCUCAUGGUAAUCAGUUGUGGUGAAUCAUUCGAGGAGCAAAUGUUUGGAAAAAUAUAGAAGAUGCUAAUUCCUCUAUUCACGGAUAACUGGAUGCAACGGUAUAGAUUAACUAAAUUAAUUGCGUAACGUAUCUGCCGAUAAGAUUAAGGGUUAUACGUAUGUUUGUUAAACGUGUUAAUGUAAUAAAUCUAAUUACAAUUUCAUCCACAAA